CUUUUGAAGGGCAAAAUACAUUUUUGCCAUUAGUUUUUCCCAUUUUUAUAACGGGUGAGAAGAGCCUGUUAUUAUAAUUAUUAUUACGGGCAUCAUUUAAUAGAAACGUUAAUUAGAAACACUUGUUUUAUUCUUUCAAGUCUAAAAAUGAAUCGAAAGAUAAAUAUUUAGCCUCCUGGAGAACAACAGUUAGUCAAAUGUUAAGAAACGAUUCCUUUCAGUUAUUAUAUACACUUAUAAUUAAUAAUCAAUGAUAAAACAAAUCAGAAAUAAACAAUAACUCCUUUUAAAGUGUUUAAUGGUUUUGUUAUUCUUAUACAAUAUUGUACAUUUACUCAUUUAUACAAUAAUUCACAUAUUAACAAGUCUGAAAAAUGAAGAUAAGGAAGAUGAGGCCACUUUUUAUUUAAACUUAUAAAAAAGAAAAUAUUUCAAACUCAAGAGUUUAAAGGGAAAUCAGAUUUUUAUAAGAAACUAAUAAAUAAAUAAAUAAAUAAAUGAAAGAUUUCAGUUUGUGUUUGACUCUUCAAAUUUCAGCAAACUCAUAAAAAAAGAGGAAGGGACAUCACAGCUCACCAAAACAAACCCGUGGACCACAAAGGGUCAGCUUGCUGUGAACCGAUGAAUAGGAACAAUCCUUUUUCAAUUUCCGUUAUGCAGCAGCACUGAAUUCUGGGAGGGUGUGGCCAUGGAAACACAAAUGUAUGACUCACCAAUCAGUAAUUGAUCACAGUGGCAACCAUGGUUACACGUUUCUUAAGAGACGACGUGGUGAUUUAACAAUAAGAGCCUUCACAUACACCGUUCUUAUUUUGUAAAUACUAACAAUACCCAGGAGCCUCAGCUGAUAUUGCCAUGGAGACAAGGCCGCAAUGUUCCUGAAGGGUUCUACAAAGGGUUACCUUUAGCUUCUUAAAGCUCUUUGUUGAUGAGAUGCAUCUUGGGGGUUGAAGCAUUUUCUGAAUCCGGGAUUCAAGAUUAAAGACCCUAACCUGACAAUCAACCUGUGUGGGACAGCAGCAGGUGGGCGGGGCUUCAUUCUGGUACAAUGUUAAUGAGUUGAAGUAAUGAUUUUUCAUUUUGUCGGAUCAUUUUCUGAAACAAAUGAAAAUUUGAAAAAAAUCAAUAAAAAACUAUUUAAAAAAGAAAUGUUCGUAAAUGUGUGUCUGUGUGAGCAAGAAUAAAGGGGGAACAGUCUGAGUACUGGAGGGAAACAGACACGGUGAGAUGUCAAUGGUAAAGAUCCUCUAUCACACCGAAACCAAAAGUCCUGAAAGAAUCCCUGAACGCUGAUCUGAAGUCAGCACUGGGCUGCAGGAAGCUGAUUUGUUAACAUGCGGCGCAGUAACUGAAAAGGGGCGGGGCAAACGCAGAGAGGAGCCAAUCAUCACAGGUGCUGCCAGUCGAUGGCUACCAGCGUUUGAUUGGCCUCCUGAGCGUGACCUAUGACCUCAGCGAUGCCGUGCUGACGCCACAGACGCUCAAUCUUCCUGUAGCGCUCAACGCAGAGGUGGAGGGGGUUCCCCCGCCUGCAGGUAAACAAACAAACUAAUCAAUAAAUCAAUAAACAAAAGGUGGAGGGGGUUCCCCCGCCUGCAGGUAAACAAAUAAACUAAUCAAUAAAUAAAUAAACAAAGGGAGGGGGUCCCCCCGCCUGCAGGUAAACAAACUAAUCAAUAAAUAAAUAAACAAAGGGAGGGGGUUCCCCGCCUGCAGGUAAACAAACCGAUCACUAUAGGAAAGCACCUACUUGAGGCCCUGGUCCGUCUCCCCGUAGUCGUCCAGGUACGGAGGAGGAUAGAAGCAGCCCUUUGUUUUACCUGCUACAAACAGCACCUGACUUUCUCUUACCCUGCACGCAACACACACAGACACACACACAGACACACAGUCAGAGUGUGUACAGUGUACAGUGUGUAGUGUGUGCAUCUGCAGUAGAGCACAGGGCCCCGUUCCUCGUACGUGGCUAGCUGCGUUAGCCGGAUAAGAUGACAAGGAUCAGGCUUUUCGGUUCAAAUCACCACAGCAACACAUCCACAAACUUGAACCUGCUCCGGCGCAGCUUCAUUUGAGCGGCUGGAUUAAUUCGCCACUCCCCCGGAAAACAAGGCAGCUCUCUUCCUCACUGAUAAAGGGAAGCCGCUGCAUGUUGUGUUCUUCAUAAAGUUCAGUUGGUUUAUUUGACACUUUUCAUGUUCCACGUUUCACUGCUUCAAUUGAUCAAAUGUCUGAUGACACACUGAUUCGCCCACACACACACACACACACACACACACACACACACACACACACACACACACACACACACACACACACACACACACACACACACACACACAAUAAAACUCCUAGUUCUAUUUGGUCAUCUACAUACAUAUGAUACAUAAUACAUGUAUUUAUCUACUUAUUCUGAAAUUGGAUGGUGAUGAAUUCCCUUUAAAGAACUAUAAUCUGAUUGAUUAGAGUGAUGAGGCACUUAAAAUGAGCGUGAAUCAGCCUUGGAGGAACCGAGACAGGCUGACAUUAAUCAUCUCGUUAAAUUGAUCUGGAUAAUGUGACAUUUGAUCGACUUUGUUGAACCACGGUAGGAAAAAUAGGGCCCUGGUGUGUUACCUGAGGAAGAGACCAAGGCCGGCUCCACAGGUGAAGGUGUGGGCGGUGCAGGCACCUACGUCCUCUCCGUCCACCUCCGUCUGACAGCAGUAACUCUGAGAACACAACAUGGAGCCGCACACCAGACACAGAGUGGGAGCUCGGGACUUAUCUCCUCCGGACCGGGGACACCUGCACAGGUGAAGGUGGGACGGAGGAAAUUGAUGAGUAGAUGAAGAACAGUCAGAGGAGCUGGUCAGUGCACAUAAGGUAUAUACAUGUACAUAUAAACAUAUAUGUACAUGUAUAUGUAUAUUAGGGCUGUCGAUGGAUUAAAAAUGUAACUAAUUAAUCGCACAUUUUGGAAUUCGUUCAUCUUAUAUAUAUUAUAUAUAUAUAUACUAUUUAGACACUGUUGUCUAUUGUUAAUGUUAUUUUAAACACAAAACUACACACAUCUGAUCACCUUGGAGGCAGAAUUACACCGAGUGGAAUAUGUUGAACUAGCAACUCUUCCAGCUAGCUUAGCUUAGCAUAGCGGUGCUUUAAGGGGUCCGUUUGCCACUCACCCCCCUUCACUUUGUUCUCUGCUGUAUGUGGUGCCUCUGUUGGUUUUACUUCCAAUGCAAAAAGCUGUCUCAUCUUGAGCUACCGUCCUGCUUUCUCCGAUGUAACCGACUGCAGCUAGCGGCCGUUUCGUUUCCGCCGUCUACUUCUGAUAAACAAAGGUACCUUAACUACGUUAGAGUAUUUUGUCGCAUUAAUCUUGGCCACAUUAAUCGCAUAGAUUAAUGCGUUUAUGUUCACAGCCCGUAUACAGUGAUCCCUCGCCACUUCGCGGUUCACUUAUCGCGGAUUCGCUAUUUCGCGGAUUUUCAUAUUGCAUUUUUUUUUUUUUGGUGCAUUGUGCUCUGCAUUCUGAUUCGCUAAAAACUCACUCCCGAGCCGUUCAUUACAGUUCUCCAACGUCAUCGAUGGUGGCAUGUCGGUGUACAAGGAUCUUUUUGCAAAGAAGAAAAAAGAGCGACAACAGCUGCCUAUCACUAUGUUCUUCUCCCGAACAAACACACCUGCACCGCGGGCUUCAGAAGAAGAGAACACUGCAGAGCGCAGUCAGGAUGCAGCGGCCCAGUCUGAAGAGCAGUGAAACGGCCUACACGCGAGCCACUGUAUUUGUAUACAUGUAAUAGUUGCUAAUUGUAAAAAAAAAAAAAAGUUUUCUAUUUCGCGGAUUUCACUUAUCGCGGGUCAUUUUCGGAACGUAACCCCCGCGAUAAACGAGGGAUUACUGUAUACAUAUAUAUAUAUAUAUAUAUAGACAAAGGGUGUAUAUACAAUGUGUACUAAAAGUGUGUACUGUGAAUACAUACAGUGUGUAUUUGCAGUGUGUACUGUGAGUAUAUUCAGCGUAUACUAGCAAUGUGUAUAUGCAAUGUGUACUAAAAGUGUGUACUGUGAGUAUAUACAGUGUGUAUUUGCAGUGUGUAUAUACAGUGUGUAUUUGCAGUGUGUAUAUACAGUGUGUAUUUACAGUGCGUACUGAGAGUAUAUACAGUGUGUAUUUGCAGUGUGUACUGUGUGCAUAUACAGUGUGUAUUUGCAGUGUGUACUGUGAGUAUAUACAGUGUGUAUUUGCAGUGUGUAUUUGCAGUGUGUACUGUGAGUAUAUACAGUGUGUAUUUACAGUGUGUACUGUGUGUACAUACAGUGUGUAUUUGCAGUGUUCUGUGAGUAUAUACAGUGUGUAUUUGCAGUGCGUACUGUGAGUAUAAACAGUGUGUAUUUGCAGUGCGUACUGUGAGUAUAAACAGUGUGUAUUUGCAGUGUGUACUGUGAGUAUAAACAGUGUGUAUUUG
ensembl:lncRNA